rnacentral:lncRNA from 1 species
GGCGGAGGUUGCAGUGAACUGCGAUCGCGCUACUGCACCCCAGCCUGGGCAACAAAGCUAGACCUUGCCUCAAAAAAAAAAAAAAAAAAAAAAAAAAAAAAAAAAAAGACAUAAUGAAUGCAUCAGGCUAGCUAACAAUAACCUCAACUCUGAUCAAUCAUACCAUCAUAUCAUUUCCUGGUGAGAUGCAUAGGAAAUACAGAGCAUCACCUAUUGCCAAAAAUUGAACCUAAUCAAGCCUCAAGAUCUAACUACCAGUUUAUAGGCUAUAUAGAGAUUAGCAGGAAUAUGUUAAGACACCGAAGGUAUGAAAUCAACCAUAUCCAAAAUGUAGGAAAUUAUAUGGGACAAAUGAUCUGUCGUCUUCAAAAAAAUGGCAAAGUGGGAAAUGUGGGAGGGGAAAACACUUCAGAAUAAAAGAGAUUUAAGAGAUGUAUCAACAAAA